AUCCUUCGGUUUAUGAGCGUGAUGAUUGGGUAUUUAUGCCCUACGCAUGAGAUGUGCCUCCCUCAAACCUUGUUACAACGUGGGUACAUUACCCAUCUGAUA